rnacentral:piRNA from 1 species
ACUGAUGAAGUUGAACUCUCCUAUGCGAAG